UCGCUUCUUCUUCGUCUUCGUCUUCUUCGUCUUCGUCUUCUUCGUUGUGUG
rnacentral:sRNA from 1 species